UGGUGGGUUGCCUUGUCAGGUUGAUUCCGGUAACGAACGAGACCUCAGCCUGCUAAAUAGUCACGGCUACCCCGGUAGUCGCUUGACUUCUUAGAGGGACUAUUGGCGUUUAGCCAAUGGAAGUGUGAGGCAAUAACA
rnacentral:rRNA from 1 species